UGUUGUUGUGGUUAUCACGAGUCCUUGGAGCAUCAUAUUCACUAUCCUCUUCUUCACUGUUGAUGACUAAAGGAAAAGUAGCUGUUGGAGUUGGAAGCCUGCGGUAACCCAAGGUUCAGAUGACCUUAGGUCUAACAGAUUUUCAAGAUUAGCUAGAAUUUCUGGCGAAGCACUUGCAAAAGCAUGAGAUGAAACUGUCAGAAUAUAAUCAAGGUUGUGAACAACAAUGUCCUGACAAUGCUUCCUCAGAU
rnacentral:misc_RNA from 1 species